rnacentral:rRNA from 1 species
AAUGAACGCUGGCGGCAGGCCUAACACAUGCAAGUCGAGCGAGCAUUUCGGUGCUAGCGGCGGACGGGGGAGGAACGCGGGGGAACGUGCCCUUUUCGGCGGAAUAGUCCUGGGAAAGAGGGGGUAAUACCGCAAACGCCCUUAUGGGGAAAGAUUUAUCGGGGAAGGAUCGCCCCGCGUAGGAUUAGGUAGUUGGUGGGGUAAUGGCCCACCAAGGCGACGAUCCAUAGCUGGUCUGAGAGGAUGAUCGGCCACACUGGGACUGAGACACGGCCCAGACUCCUACGGGAGGCAGCAGUGGGGAAUAUUAGACAAUGGGGGCAACCCUGAUGCAGCCACGCCGCGUGGAGGAAGAAGGUCUUAGGAUUGUAAAGCCCUGUUGGCUGGGAAGAUAAUGACGGUACCCGACAAAGAAGCCCCGGCUAACUCCGUG